ensembl:lncRNA
UGGAGAGGCUGUUCGUUGGUCGGACGGGGUUGCACGAUCGCAUCCGUUUACAGAGAACGGGAUCCAGCAUCUCCAUCUUCUCCUCAACGAAGCCGAUGGAUCUUUGGAGUCAAGCCAAGAUGUGACCAUCACGUUUUGGAUCUCUCCAUCCUUUAGAUAGAAAACAGAACCCCUGUUUCUAUAGAAACAGAAAUAAUUGACAAUUAGAAAACUAUUAUUCCUAAAAUGCACUCCUCUAGCCGAACCUUCGCUCAGCCCUUGAGGCCUCGUCGCAUCGACACGAGCAGGCGGACCACCACCGCAGCGGAACCAAAGCCACACGGCCCUGUUUCCCAGAGGGAAGACAAAAACAUGAACACCAUUUCCUCUUCCUCACCUCGGCGCGCCACCAAAGCGACCCCUGAGUCUUCCAGGACCAGGGUGGGGGUCCAGCCUCGUGCCCCCUUGGGUCAGUCCAGAUUGGGUUUGCAGAGAAACACAGCUCCCCUCUCUACGACCAAACCCAAACCCAAACCUAAAAGUGUCCGUGCAGCAGCAGCAGCUGUGUCGAAACGUGCCCCUUUUCCUCCUCCUCUUCCUCUUCUUCCUCAUCUGGACCCCAACUGUAAUGAACCCAGCCUGCCUUGUCUGUGCUGCGACGGCCAUUCCCCCCAGGACAAUAACAGUCUGUUCAACCACAACCACAACAACAACAAUACCAUCUCCAUCAGACAGCAGCUGAAGCUUCAGCCCCCUCCACCACCUCCCCUGCUACCCCAGAGACAGGAGGGGACAGGGGGCAAGACCAAGACACAGGCCAGCCCCUCUCAGCCCCAGCCUCAGCCUCAGGUCCUGGCCCCAGCCUGCCCCCCUAAUGCCCUGGAACUGGAGAAAGGAAAAAUAGAUGAGGAGAAUGCAGAUGUUAACAAGAACACAGAUGUGGUCAUAGACAACAAGAAGGAAACAGAGGAAGAGAUGGAUAACAAGAAGGAAACAGAGGAGGAAGAGAUGGAUAACAAGAAGGAAACAGAGGAGGAAGAGAUGGAUAACAAGAAGGAAACAGAGGAGGAAGAGAUGGAUAACAAGAAGGAAACAGAGGAGGAAGAGGAAAACAGUGUUGAUGUUGAAGUUGAUGAUGAGGAGGAGGGAGAUGAUGAUGAUGAUGAUGAUGACGACACGUUGGUCCCAUCGUGCUGCGACUGCCCUCCCUCUCUCCUGGAUCUCUCCCUGACCUCCUCCACCUCCUCAUCCUCCACUUCAAUCAGCUCCUGCUCCGAUCUGGAGUCAGACUGCGCCGAUCUCUCCACCUCUCUCUCGUCCUCUGGCCACAAGUGGAACGCUGAUCUGUCAAUCUCUCAGGACCACACUCACAUUCAUGUUCCUGAAUGCUACCCAGCCUCCCGUUCACCCCCUGUCCUGCUCCUCAACCCCAAACCCCCUCUGUCUCUCGUUGCCCUCCCCCCCCACACGCCUGCUCCCCAGACGAGGGCUACCCCUCCGCCCCCGCCUCCCCCUCCUCCUCUGACUACCUGGGGGUCAAAGGUCAGACAGGCUUAGGGUCAGAGGUUGCCAAACUAGGCCUCCUGGACUUCCUGGAGUCAGUGGGAGACUUUGGAAAGAUGGAGCGCUUUAGCCAGGUGAUUCAGGUGGCUCGCUGGGACCUGGAGGGGGAUCCUCAGGGGGAUCUACUAAGGGAUCGACUGGAUCACCUGGACCGACUGGAGAGUGUCAACAGGCAGGUGAAGCUGGCCCACAUCACCAGGCUCCAUGAGAAGGGACUGGAUCUAGGCGAUCUGGGCAAGGAGGAUCUCUCUGAUAUUCUGGAUGAGAUGGGGAACGUGGAUAUGUCUUGGAAGCUGUAUAAGGGCCGGGGAGGGUCUUUGGGAGAUUCCCAGGAGUUCUCUGAUGCUGGAGUGGACCUGACAGCACCUUCAGACUGUGACGAGCCCCUGGUCUCACAAUCAGAGACCUCUUUGCCCAUAGAGCUCCCACCGAGACCCCCCAAACCCCCUGCCCGCUAUGCCAGCGUGAACUCUGAACUCCACACCUACAUCAACAUCAGCCGUGACAUCACCCCCUCCGUCUCUGUCUGCACUUCUCCAUCCUCAUCCCCCACUUUCUACACCUUCAGGUGUGAGAAGGCCCUCCCUCCUUCCCCACGCUCCGUCCCCCCUCCUCUUCUCUGUCAGCCCAUCCCUUACUUUACUCUCUACAAAUCUUC